rnacentral:tRNA from 1 species
GCCUUCGUGGUGCAACGACAGCCCACUCAACGCGUAUUCAAGAGGCCCAGGUUCGAAUCCCGGCGAGGGCA